rnacentral:misc_RNA from 1 species
AAGUCGUAACAAGGUAACCGUAGGUGAACCUGCGGUUGGAUCAUUAUUAAAGUAAAGCUUUAGAGCUUUCAAAACCGCUUGGGCGUCUGGUAAAACAGCUGCCCGAGUCAACCUUGUGUGAACUGUUAAUGUACUUGGCAAUGCCUAGCCUAGCUAGCUUGCCGCCUUUAUUAAACACCCUUUUUAUUACCGUCUUAAUCAAAUAUAAAAAUUUGAAACAACUUUCAACAACGGAUCUCUUGGCUCUC